GGAAGGUGUCAGGGUUGGUUCAGGAGACAGAAGAAUUUUGAAACGAAUGCGAUGAAUAAGCAGAUGGUCCGGGCGUUCGGUUAAAACGAAAAGACAAUUUUUGUCUCUUUAUAUCUUCCGGGUAAUCAUUCUAACUCCGGAGUUCCUUAGCCCAAGAACUCGACCCCUAUGUUCCUGGAAACAGUCGUGUGACCUUCUGUACAACACUUCUCAACAAGCCCCCUUUCUCACGUUAAAAACGAGAAGUCGUCUUGUCUGAAUGUCCGCAAACGCAGAAGGUGCGCUGACUUGGGCUCCCUAGGGAUGCUGACAGGCGCUGGAUGGAAGAAGCCAGUCCAACCCGAGCAGCUGGCGGGAUCAGCACUGUUGUUCUGAGAUCUGUGGCUGAUAGAGAAGCUGGGGGUGGCCUGGUGAGGGCCCCACAGGCCGCCGCCUGGUGAGCGGGAAGAUACCCCGGGAACAUCCCCUGUGGGCCUGACCUGCCCCGGGAGCCCAGCAGACAGCUGAACCGAAAACUCCCUGACAACCAGGAGAUUUGGGUGUCUGGGGGUGCACGGAAGCGCCCCGGAGACCUCAGAAAUGCGCCAGCCCCUUGAGAAGCAGGUGUCAGAAUGUGAGCCUCGCACCCCAAGAGUGCGAUUCCUUUGGGUGAGGAUGGAUUUGACAGCAGAUAGAUAGGCCUUUGUUUGUUUGUUUCAACCAACGCUGAGGUGUCACCUUCCCCUUUCACCCCUCCGUUCCCACCUCACCGGGUCCCUCGUACAGGCCCCACACACGGAUUUUCAUUUUCAACACGUAGCGCCCGACUGAGGGAUCUGAGAUCACCGGCUCAGAAAACGGGAAAGGUCAGUCUGACUAACACCUCGCCUGGCGUCCUGGGAUCAGCAUCCAAGAGCAACAGAUCCGAGAUGGGCUGUGUGAGAAAGCCCAGGGGGCAAGGCUCUCUGACGUCACCCAAGUUCAGGACCCAGGGCUUUACCUGACGGGGGUGGGGGCUGGAAUUCUCCUGGAAGAACACCAGAGCCAGGCUGGUGGGUUCAGAGGGAACGCAGGGGAGCCCUUUUCUGCUAAUAAAAGGAGAAACCAAAUAAAACGGAGGGAGUCCAAGAAAAAUACAACGCUAUUGUUCUGGGGCAGAAGAUGCUGGCUGGGAGGCUUCGUUGAGCAAUGCCAGUCACACCCUUUCUCUGUGGGACUGCAGGAAUGUUGGCUGUUUCCCUGGAGGCCAGGUGGGAGGUGGGCAGACAGGUCUAUGGAGAUGAGGAGUUCUUGGAGCUGGAACUCUCUGAACAUCCCCAUGGCCUUGCAGCUGGGAGGCGGACACGGAGCAGCAGGAAUGUGGGUUGAAUGAGGGCCAGGAAGCAGCAAUCACGUGACAUGUCAGCGGUGGCCCAACGUCCAUAGUCCAAGGAAGGAUGAAUGUGACUGAUGUCUUGGCGUUAGCUUUUCCCAAGAGCGAGCUCUUAAAAAUAACUCUCCCGAGUGCAUGUGGCUGAGAGACCCCGCCAGCUUAUUUCUCCUGUCUCUGUCCCUUGCUCCUUCUCCUUCGAUUUCAGCAAGAACCCCGUUUGUGUGGGCACCGAUCUGGGACUGCCUGGAACCCCACGUGUGGGAGAGAGGGACGCUGUUGGGUCGGCCACGGUCCGUUUCCUUCUGAACAUGCCCAUCCUUUUUUGGCGGGGGGGAUCUUUGUCUCUUACCAAAACUCUAGCUCCAACUCCCCACACUCAGACUUCUCUCCCUCCACUAUGAACGGCGAAGACUCAGUUGGAAAACCUUGGAUGCAGAAUGGCUCAGAGUCACCCACAGUGCCCGUCUGGGUGUCACAGAAGCUGAGUCCCUCUGAGAAAGACCGUGUCAUGAGGGCGCUUUCAAUGUUUUCCAAAGAGCUCAUCCUUCGGUUGGAUUUGUUGGUUCCAGGAUCUCUGGACUUAGGCCAAGGAACGUUAUUACGGAUCUAACCCACAGCGACAUCUGGAUUCAGAACCUCUGGGUUCUCUCUCCCCACCCCCUCUCUCUCGAUCAAUUUUCUCUGUGACCUCAGAAAAGCUACACCCCAUCUCUGGGCUUCAGUGACAUCUCCUAUUCAAAGGCGGUUCUUCAUCAAAAUUCAGCACAUACUCAUUCUUUCUUUUCUCUCUUCCAAGGCUGGGGGGGCUUCCCUUAGAGACCCCCCAACAUGCUCUCUUAUGGGGGAGUCUGCUAGGAGUGAGUCCAAAGGAGCUUAGAGUGAGGGAAGGGUUAGAAGUGGCCAAGGUGACAACCCCUUUGCCUUUAAGGAACCCCAUGCCUUACCCUAGCCACAGAGAAGCGCUCCUCAUCUGUGGGGCACCCACCCUGGCACUUUCGGGGUGUAGGGUUUGUAUGGCAGCCACUACGGAAAAUCUGUCUGAGCUGGAGGCGAGGGAUGAGCCAGCCUGGAAUGCUCCCACAGUCACAGCCGUGUUUACAGGAGAGCAUAUGGAUGGAGUUUAGCUUUGAUACAUUCCCAUCACUUUUUACAGAACGAUUUUCCAGCCAAUAAAAGACAUACCUUAACCACU